rnacentral:rRNA from 1 species
AGAAUCAACGCUGGCGGCGUGCCUAACACAUGCAAGUCGAACGAGAAAGUGGAGCAAUCCAUGAGUAAAGUGGCGCACGGGUGAGUAACACGUGACUAACCUACCCUUGAGUGGGGGAUAACCUAGGGAAACCUGGGCUAAUACCGCAUAAUACCUUCGGGUCAAAGGAGCAAUUCGCUUAAGGAGGGGGUCGCGGCCGAUUAGUUAGUUGGCGGGGUAAUGGCCCACCAAGACUGUGAUCGGUAUCCGGCCUGAGAGGGCGCACGGACACACUGGAACUGAAACACGGUCCAGACUCCUACGGGAGGCAGCAGUGGGGAAUUUUGCGCAAUGGGGAAACCCUGACGCAGCAACGCCGCGUGGAGGAUGAAGCCCCUUGGGGCGUAAACUCCUUUCGAUCGGGACGAUAAUGACGGUACCGGAAGAAGAAGCCCCGGCUAACUUCGUGCCAGCAGCCGC